rnacentral:tRNA from 1 species
GAGGGUAUAGCUUAGUGGUAGGGCACAUGCUUAGCGGGCACAUGCUUAGCAUUCACAAGGUCCUGGGUUCAAUUCCCAGUACGUCCA